GCCACUCACACCAUCUGCUAAUGGGACAGCUCACUCUUCCCUCCAAACCAUGGCCUUGGCUCAAGAGCUUCCUUGUUUCUGGAAUGUUCUUUCCUCCAGCUCCAGGUGUUGGAAUUCUGCCUGGUCUGGGUCUCCUGUUGAAGGACACCCUCCACUGGGAAGGAUCCUCUUGCCUUCACCACUUGCCUUCACCAGCCCCUGCUCCCCUCUUCCUCUUGGGGCUGUUGUGGUUGUUGAUACUUUUUGUUGUGUUUGACACACUCCUUGUUCUCACCCUCUAACACAGUUCUCAACCACAGCACUUUUGUCCCUGGAGAUGUUUGGCAGUGUCCAGAGGCAUGUUGAUGGUCCCACUGGGGUUGGGGGUGCUGCUGGCACCAGAUGGUAGGGAGAUGCCAGGGGUGCUGCUCCACACCCUAUGGGACACCACACAGUACACCUGGCGCAUGUCCCCCGCAGUGAGAGCUGGCCCUGGGCAGGCGUGGCCCCUGCGGUGUGUGUUGGUUGGGAUCCUCCACAGUGACAGACGGUGCCCUCUGCCCACGUUUCCACACAGCUCUUUUGCUUGUGGAGCUCACCCCUUUGCAGAGAGCGCAUUUCCCUGCGGUCUUUGGCCUGCAGAAGUAAAAUGAGGGGUGGGGAAUUACACCCCUGCUGGUUACACAUGGAAAACUCAGGAGCGAGAAUUUUGUGGAGAGCAAGAGAGCUGAGACUGGGGUGCUGGCUGCCAGCCAGGCGGUCCCUCAGCCCCUGGAGAAGCGGGGUGGGGCCUGCACACCGAGUCCUUCCAGUGAGUCCAGUGAUGCUCUCUUUCUCCUCUUCCUCCCAGUCACCUUUCUCUCCAGUGCCACUACUGCGCUUUCGAUGCAGAAUAAUUCAGUAUUUGGCGACUUGAAGUCGGACGAGAUGGAGCUGCUCUACUCAGCCUACGGAGAUGAGACAGGCGUGCAGUGUGCGCUGAGCCUGCAGGAGUUUGUGAAGGAUGCUGGGAGCUACAGCAAGAAAGUGGUGGACGACCUCCUGGACCAGAUCACAGGCGGAGACCACUCUAGGACGCUCUUCCAGCUGAAGCAGAGAAGAAAUGUUCCCAUGAAGCCUCCAGAUGAAGCUAAGGUUGGGGACACCCUAGGAGACAGCAGCAGCUCUGUUCUGGAGUUCAUGUCGAUGAAGUCCUAUCCCGACGUCUCUGUGGAUAUCUCCAUGCUCAGCUCUCUGGGGAAGGUGAAGAAGGAGCUGGACCCUGACGACAGCCAUUUGAACUUGGAUGAGACGACGAAGCUCCUGCAGGACCUGCACGAAGCACAGGCGGAGCGCGGCGGCUCUCGGCCGUCGUCCAACCUCAGCUCCCUGUCCAACGCCUCCGAGAGGGACCAGCACCACCUGGGAAGCCCUUCUCGCCUGAGUGUCGGGGAGCAGCCAGACGUCACCCACGACCCCUAUGAGUUUCUUCAGUCUCCAGAGCCUGCGGCCUCUGCCAAGACCUAACUCUAGACCACCUUCAGCUCUUUUAUUUUAUUUUUUUAGUUUUAUUUUUCACGUGUAGAGUUUUUGUCAUCAGACAAGGACUUUGAUCCUGUCCCCUUUGGCAUGCGGGAAGCAGCCCCGGGGAGGUAAUGAAUUGUCUGUGGUAUCAUGUCAGCAGAGUCUCCAAGCCCCACGAACCCUGAGGAGUGGAGUCAUACGCGAAGGCCAUAUGGCCAUCGUGUCAGCAGAGAGAGUCUCUGUACACAGCCCCGUGAACCCUGAGGAGUGGAGUCAUACACGAAGGGCGUGUGGCCGUCGUGUCAGCAGAGAGAGUCUCUGUACACAGCCCCGUGAACCCUGAGGAGUGGAGUCAUACGCGAAGGGUGUGUGGCCAGGCUGCAGAGCUGCGUGCCGUCUGUGUCCGAGCAUCACGUGUGGCUCCAGCCCUUGUUUCUGCCAGUGUAGACACCUCUGUCUGCCCCACUGUCCCGGGGUCGCUCUUGGGAGGCACAGGCAUGGGUGUGUCUGGCCUCAUUCUGUAUCAGUCCUGCGUGUUCCUGUCAUAGUUUGUGUUUCCCAGGCAGGCCAUGGUAGGGGCCUCGCAGGGGCCAUUGGGGAGCACAGGGCCAGGCUGGGGUGAGGAGAGCUCCCCUGUUUUCUGUUUAAUUGAUGAGCCUGGGAAAGGAGUGUGUUCUGCCUGCCCGUUACAGUGGAGCGUUCCGUGUCCAUAAAACGUUUUCUAACUGGG
rnacentral:sRNA from 1 species